UGGGCGCAGCCUGAUGCAGCCAUGCCGCGUGUGUGAAGAAGGCCUUCGGGUUGUAAAGCACUUUCAGCCGUGAGGAAGGCAUUGUACUUAAUACGUGCAGUGUUUGACGUUAGCGGCAGAAGAAGCACCGGCUAACUCCGUGCCAGCAGCCGCGGUAAUACGGAGGGUGCGAGCGUUAAUCGGAAUUACUGGGCGUAAAGCGCAUGCAGGCGGUCUGUUAAGCAAGAUGUGAAAGCCCCGGGCUUAACCUGGGAACCGCAUUUUGAACUGGCAGGCUAGAGUCUUGUAGAGGGGGGUAGAAUUUCAGGUGUAGCGGUGAAAUGCGUAGAGAUCUGAAGGAAUACCGGUGGCGAAGGCGGCCCCCUGGACAAAGACUGACGCUCAGAUGCGAAAGCGUGGGGAGCAAACAGGAUUAGAUACCCUGGUAGUCCACGCCGUAAACGAUGUCUACUUGGAGGCUGUAGUCUAGAACUGUGGCUUUCGGAGCUAACGCGUUAAGUAGACCGCCUGGGGAGUACGGUCGCAAGAUUAAAACUCAAAUGAAUUGACGGGGGCCCGCACAAGCGGUGGAGCAUGUGGUUUAAUUCGAUGCAACGCGAAGAACCUUACCUACUCUUGACAUCCAGAGAAGCUUGAAGAGAUUUUGGUGUGCCUUCGGGAACUCUGAGACAGGUGCUGCAUGGCUGUCGUCAGCUCGUGUUGUGAAAUGUUGGGUUAAGUCCCGCAACGAGCGCAACCCUUAUCCUUGUUUGCCAGCACGUCAUGUUGGGAACUCCAGGGAGACUGCCGGUGAUAAACCGGAGAAGGUGGGGGACGACGUCAAGUCAUCAUGGCCCUUA
rnacentral:rRNA from 1 species